UACGAAGGGGGCUAGCGUUGCUCGGAAUCACUGGGCGUAAAGCGCACGUAGGCGGAUCUUUAAGUCAGGGGUGAAAUCCUGGAGCUCAACUCCAGAACUGCCUUUGAUACUGGGGAUCUCGAGUCCGGGAGAGGUGAGUGGAACUCCGAGUGUAGAGGUGAAAUUCGUAGAUAUUCGGAAGAACACCAGUGGCGAAGGCGGCUCACUGGCCCGAUACUGACGCUGAGGUGCGAAAGCGUGGGGAGCAAACAGG
rnacentral:rRNA from 1 species